GGCCCAAAUUCCAAGUAGAGUAGAUUAGUAGUGUCAGCUGACUCUAUUUAAUUAUUCUAUUUCAAGUUUGUGCCC
rfam:Haemonchus placei strain MHpl1 genome assembly, scaffold: HPLM_scaffold0000017